rnacentral:lncRNA from 1 species
GUGGGAGUGGACUUGCAAUGCCGGUUGAGGUUGUGCAGUUUUGUUGGAAGUAUAAUUUGGUCAGGUUGCAAGAUAUGUUUAAGGAUCAAGGGGUAGAGGCCAAAUUAAGAUUAGAUGGGGAGAAACCGUAUGUCACGGAUAAUAUGAACUAUAUUGUGGAUUUGUAUUUCAAGACUCCGAUCACGGAUGCUCCUGCUGCUGGGAAAGAGAUUUCGAGUUUGGAAGGUGUGGUGGAACAUGGGCUGUUUCUUGAUAUGACCACUGCAGUGAUUAUUGCUGGUAGUGAUGGAGUUAGUGUUAAGAGCAAGUGAUUUAUGGUGAGAAAUUCAGAACUGUGUUUUAAUUGUGGAAGG